UACGAAGGUGGCAAGCGUUGUUCGGAUUUACUGGGCGUACAGGGAGCGUAGGCGGUUGGGUAAGCCCUCCGUGAAAUCUCCAGGCUUAACCUGGAAAGUGCAGAGGGGACUGCUCGGCUAGAGGAUGGGAGAGGAGCGCGGAAUUCCCGGUGUAGCGGUGAAAUGCGUAGAGAUCGGGAGGAAGGCCGGUGGCGAAGGCGGCGCUCUGGAACAUUUCUGACGCUGAGGCUCGAAAGCGUGGGGAGCAAACAGGAUUAGAUACCCUGGUAGUCCACGCCUUAAACGAUGGAUACUAAGUGUCGGCGGGUUACCGCCGGUGCCGCAGCUAACGCAUUAAGCGCCCCGCCUGGGGAGUACGGCCGCAAGGCUAAAACUCAAAGGAAUUGACGG
rnacentral:rRNA from 1 species